GCCACCUUGUGAAGAAGUUGCCUGCUUCCCCUUCCGCCAUGAUUGCCUUCGAAGGAUUGUAUGAGGCCCACCUAUAUUGGGGAAGGCAAUCUGCUUUACUCAGUCUGCAAAUUCAAAUGUUAAUCUCAUCCAGAAACAUGCAAAAUAAUGCUUAACUUCCCAGUCAAGUUGAUCCAUAAAAUUAGCCAUCACAAUGCUAAAGCAGGAAAAUGGCCUGAGGAAUUUGAUAUUUUGAGCAUUCAGACUCAGGAAGUCCAAAAAUCCUCUACUCCAGGUUUGCAGGCAGUUCUCCAGAAUUUCCAGAGGAGCUGAGAGGAGAGAGAGAGAGAAUCACAGAGAAAAAGAGAGUAAGAGAGAGAGAUUGCAUAAGUGCAAGGACCUUUUAAGGCCUGUGUUUAGAAGUAGAAUGCUGUCAGUUCUACCAUCUUCUACGGACCGCAUUGAUUCACUGCCUCUCCUACUAUUUACAACAAAGUUCUUAAAAAGUGUGUGUUGAUGAGCAAGUAUAUCCUGCUUAGACAUAAAAUGACCUGGAAAUGGAAAUUUACUGUAGGAGUGCUGAAGCAUGACUGCAACAGACUUGCAGUUGUGCAGGAGAUCCAUUCAGCCGCACAGAGAUGACCGGAAAAAUGGCUGGCGCAGGAUCUGUGCCAAAUGCGAGGCUGCCCUUGCCACUAAGGACUUCUAACAUUGCAACUAUCAAGAUGAUGAUGAACUCAUCAACAGAUGGAGAGAGACUGCUGUAUUUUGAAGGACUCUGGAUAAUAAAUAGACCAUUUGACCAUAAUGCUGUGAAAAAGCCCAACCUAAUCUACUCAAUAUGAAAGUCUCUGCAGAAAGAAGAAUGGAGGUACUCUGGUGACAGCUAGUACCAUGUUCCAAAGGCCAUCUUCAGCCUGCAGAUUCAGGGAAGACAUCAGAUGAUGGUAGCCACAUGAGUGAGUUCAGACAAGAACAGGAGAAGAAAGUUCUAACCAACUCACAGAAUUUUAGAAAAUAGAUUGGCAUUUUAAGCCAUCAAGUUUUACAGUAGUUGUUAUGCGACCAUAGAUAACUGAAAAUAUACAUGCAAAUAUAAUUUAUUUAUCCAUUUACUACAUUUGGGUUGUUUCCAGUUCUGGGCUAUUACAAAUAGUUCUACUAUCAUCUUUAGGACACAUAUGUGUGCAUUUCUGUUAGAUAUAUAUCUAGAAGAGGAAUUGCAAGGUCAGUAUUAAUAAAUAUUGGUAAAGGGUUAUAUUUCCAUAGGUAAUAUAAUAGAGACUAGUUGCUCCACGCCCUCCCUAAUCCUUGGUAAUGUCUGUUAUUUUCAUUUGAAUCAUUCUGGCAUGUCGGUACUAUUAUCUCAGUGUAGAUUUGACUUACCAUAUUUUCAUUUUUGUGUAAAGGUACCUUAAAAAUGAACGUAAAUAUGCAGAGAUCCCAAAAUACUUCACCCAUGUGUUUUCUCUAAGAAGCUUACCUGAAGAAGGAAUCAUUCAUGCAUGUGUGCAGACACAUACAAACACACAUGCACACAUACAAAGCAAUAUUCUGUUUUGUUUAAUGAUCCACACAUUGUAUUCACUUUUGCUCAAUAUUGAUAUUUCUCUAUUCUCUUUUUAUUUGUAUAUUUCUGGUUGUCCUUUGUCUACCCUUUUAUUUUCAACCUAUGAAUUACAUUGUUUUAGAUGUCAUCUCGUAUGCAGUAUAUGAAUAUGAGAGCAUUAUUUAUCAAAACUUAUGGGAUUUUAGGAAAGAUAUACUCAGAGGACAUAUUUAUAACUUUAGGUACUUUCAAUAUAUAAAAAAGAAAUAAAAACAAUAAAUGAAGCACUCCUUUGAGAGGUUAUAAAAAGAACAAAAUAAAUCUAAGAAAGCAGAAGUAAACAGUCAAAGAUAAAUGCAGAAGUCAAUGAAUUAAACUAAGGAAAGUAGGAGAAAGUAUUAAGUUAAAAGAGAAUUGACUUUUCAGGGAAAUCCAGAUUAAAACAAUGAGGUACCAUCUCAUGCCUGUUAGAAUGACUAUUAUCAAAAAGACACAAGAUAAUAAGUGUUUCCCAAGAUGUGGAGAAAACAGAACUCUUGCACACCGUUUAAGGGGAUAUAAAUUGGUACAGCCAGCAUGGAAAAGAAUAUAGAGUUUCCUCAAAAAAGUAAUAAUAGGGCUACCAUAUGAUCCAGCAACCCCACUUUUGGGUAUAUAUCCAAAGGAAAUGAAAUAAGUGUGUUGAAAAUUAUCCAUAAUCUCAUAUUCAUUGCAGCAUUAUUCACAAGAGCCAAGACAUAGAAUCGACCUAAGCAUCCAUCAGCGAAUGACUAGAUAAAGAACAUGUAUAGAUACACAUUGAAAUACUAUACUGCUUACAAAGAAAGAAAUCCUGUCAUUGACGACAACAUAAAUGAACCUGGAGGACACUAUGUUAAGUGAAAUAAGUCACACAGAGAAAGACAGAUUCUGCAUGAUCUUACUUAUAUGUGGAAUCUAAUAAAGUUGAUCUCAUAGAAGUAGAAAAUAGAAUGGUGGUUGCCAGCGGUUGGCUGAUAGAACGAGGAGGAAUGGGGGAAAUGUUGGUCAAAAGAUACAAAAUUUUAGUUAGAGAAGAGGAAAAAGUUCAAAAGAUCUAUUGCACAACAUGGUGACUAUAACAAUAUAUUCUUGAAAAUUGUUACAAGUAGAUUUUAAAUGUUCUUGCCACAAAAAUAACUAUGUGAGGUAAUGCAGAUGUUAGAUGAAGAAUAGCUCAAUUAAGCUACUUCAUAAUGUUUAUAUAUUUCAAAACAUUAUGUUGUACAUGAUAAAUGUGCAAAAUUGUAUUUGUCAAUUUAAAAUAAAAUGUUUAAAAAGAAAUUUAUGAAGGAGGGUUGUU